rnacentral:tRNA from 1 species
AUUUAUAUAGUUUAAUUAAAACAUUAUAUUUUCAUUAUAAAAAUAAGAUUUUAUUCUUUAUAAAUA